GAUGAACGCUGGCGGCGUGCCUAAUACAUGCAAGUCGAGCGAACAGACGAGUAUCUUGCUCCUCUGACGUUAGCGGCGGACGGGUGAGUAACACGUGGAUAACCUACCUAUAAGACUGGGAUAACUUCGGGAAACCGGAGCUAAUACCGGAUAAUAUAUUGAACCGCAUGGUUCAAUAGUGAAAGACGGUUUUGCUGUCACUUAUAGAUGGAUCCGCGCCGCAUUAGCUAGUUGGUAAGGUAACGGCUUACCAAGGCAACGAUGCGUAGCCGACCUGAGAGGGUGAUCGGCCACACUGGAACUGAGACACGGUCCAGACUCCUACGGGAGGCAGCAGUAGGGAAUCUUCCGAAAUGGGCGAAAGCCUGACGGAGCAACGCCGCGUGAGUGAUGAAGGUCUUCGGAUCGUAAAACUCUGUUAUUAGGGAAGAACAAAUGUGUAAGUAACUAUGCACGUCUUGACGGUACCUAAUCAGAAAGCCACGGCUAACUACGUG
rnacentral:rRNA from 1 species